UUGUGGAUGAGCUUCAGGAUAGAAACAAGAGGAGCUAGUUGCCCUUGGAAUUCUGCCCGUGAUGUAGAGGUAAAAAGGGAAGCUGGAGCAGGAGGAAGGGCUGAUGAAGUGCCUGAGGACUGCUGCCCAGCUGGUUUUCAAAUGGAAGUAGGAGGAGUGAAGUCUUCCAUGCCAGCUGACAGAAUUUAUUCAUUUGAAAAUUCAAGCCAAAAUGGUUCAGUCCUUCCUAAGAACAAGACUAAUGGAAAACCCAUAAUUUGCCUAUAUCCAUAAAUAAAAAUCUGGCAAUUUGGAGCAA